AACGAACGCUGGCGGCAUGCCUAACACAUGCAAGUCGAACGAGACCUUCGGGUCUAGUGGCGCACGGGUGCGUAACGCGUGGGAACCUGCCCUUAGGUUCGGAAUAACUCCCCGAAAGGGGUGCUAAUACCGGAUAAUGUCUUCGGACCAAAGAUUUAUCGCCUUUGGAUGGGCCCGCGUUGGAUUAGCUAGUUGGUAGGGUAAAAGCCUACCAAGGCGACGAUCCAUAGCUGGUCUGAGAGGAUGAUCAGCCACACUGGGACUGACACGGCCCAGACUCCUACGGGAAGCAGCAGUGGGGAAUAUUGGACAAUGGGCGAAAGCCUGAUCCAGCAAUGCCGCGUGAGUGAUGAAGGCCUUAGGGUUGUAAAGCUCUUUUACCCGGGAUGAUAAUGACAGUACCGGGAGAAUAAGCUCCGGCUAACUCCGUG
rnacentral:rRNA from 1 species